AACGAACGCUGGCGGCAGGCUUAACACAUGCAAGUCGAACGCCCCGCAGGGGGAGUGGCAGACGGGUGAGUAACGCGUGGGAAUCUACCCAUCUCUACGGAAUAACUCAGGGAAACUUGUGCUAAUACCGUAUACGCCCUUUGGGGAAAGAUUUAUCGGAGAUGGAUGAGCCCGCGUUGGAUUAGCUAGUUGGUGGGGUAAAGGUCUACCAAGGCGACGAUCCAUAGCUGGUCUGAGAGGAUGAUCAGCCACAUUGGGACUGAGACACGGCCCAAACUCCUACGGGAGGCAGCAGUGGGGAAUAUUGGACAAUGGGCGCAAGCCUGAUCCAGCCAUGCCGCGUGAGUGAUGAAGGCCCUAGGGUUGUAAAGCUCUUUCACCAAUGAAGAUAAUGACUGUAGUCGGAGAAGAGGCCCCGGCUAACUUCGUGCCAGCCGCCGCGGUAACAC
rnacentral:rRNA from 1 species